rnacentral:miRNA from 1 species
UCAUUGCUUCUCGGCCUUUUGGCUAAGAUCAAGUGUA